UGGUGUGCAGUUGGUAAAGACCUCUUAUCUCUUGGGCAUGUGACCAAAUCUGCAGCCAUCAGUUCUCAUGCUCCAGGCUUCACGGACAAGAUCUAUAUGUAGUAGAAGAAGAUGAUCCUGUGUUCAGAGACACAGCGGAGCUGGAAAGUCAUGUUCAAGUCCACAGUAUACAAAUGAACACCGAUCAACUUCUCUGGAGGCUGAAAACCCUGAUUUGAACCUCUGCCCAGAUUAGACCUCUCCACCGCUGUGCCAGCGCCCCUUCCUCAUUCAGAGCUGGGAGUUCCUCCAAUCAACAGGAUUUAUGAGGAGCCUGCUGUUCUGGGUGCUGGUGACGCUGCGGUUAGCCAAAAGUGUUGGAAAAACUCCAGAGAAGUUCACAGACAGUAAACUGAACCAAGACUCUUCUGUCUGUCUCUGCAAUCAAGGAAACUGAGCCCAGAACACUGUCAGGUGUCCUGGUCACAUGGGGGUCACCAAAGGCCUGGACCAGGGGCUGGGAGGGUGGAGUGCAGCUGAGACUCUCGUUCAGCACACACAUGCGAGAACGGAGUCUGCAGGACACCAGGCCAGUCGAUAUGAGGUUGUCAGGCAGACUCAGAGGCCCCGGACACAGCCAGCUUAGAGCUGAGCGGGGAAGACAGAGAAGUAGACAAGCAAUUAGAAAAUGCAAAGUACUGUGAAGAGGGCUGAGAUGGGGAAUGAAGGGGAGACCUGUUUAAUAGGGGCAAGUGUGACCUCACUGAGGAGUUGGGGGGCAUAAACAGGAGCCAGUCAUGGAGAGCAUGGAAGAGCAUUUUAGGAAGAUGGAAGAGCAUGUGGAAGGACAGAGUGAAUGCCAGCAGUUGGAAGGAAUUCACUGGAAAGAAGCCACGUGGCGGGAGCCCAGUAAGGAAGGACAGGCAGAUGAGACAAAGUCUGAGAAGGCAAACUGUGUUAUUUGUAUGUUACUCAAAGUUUAAUGUCAUUGUUGAUUAUUUUUUUAGGCAAAGGAAUGGCACAUCUUGUCACCCUAGUUCCCGUUUCAGAACACCACCUCUGCCUGUGCUGAGAACCUGCGUGAAGGGGAGGCCUGGAGGAGGCCAGGGAAUCUUGGGAGGGCCUGCGGCGUUCCAGCAGGAGAGGAGGGUGGCUUGGAGUGGGACCUUGGCAGGAGAGACAGAACCUGAGUGUGGGAACAAGAGGAAUCAAGGCCGUCUCCCAGGCCAUUUGCAGAGAUGAGGGAGGAACUGGUUUGGGGAGGGAAUCAAGGAUUCUUUAGACACAAGAAAAACAGAGAUGCUCAUGAGAUACUAAGAGGAGAUGAGGCACUUGGACUCAGGAGACAGGGAACUGUGCCGGCUGGACGUGGGGCCUGUCACUUCCUGUCUGCUGAUGAAGUCAUGGCCGUGGAUGAGCCUGCUCCAGGAGAUCUGCAGGGAGAAGAGGAGGCUCUCUGAGCAGUCUCUGACAGAGGACCCUGCAAGGCCUGCUGGGCCGUCAGGAGUGGGAGCAGGGACAUUGGAUAACCAAGAACAGACGGAGCGCGGCCCAGCAUGAACGUCGUGAACACCCAAAUCAGAAAGGGCACAGGCCAGCACCCACUGGCUCUGGCCUCCAUGGGGAGGGGACCACAAACCCUGAGAAGAGCCUUCUGGUGGUGUGGUGGGGCCGAGGUUGGAGGGACGGCAGAAGGUGGGCCGGGAGGUUUGUAAGUGAGAAGAACAGGGGGAUAGGCACAGUGGACCAGAGGGUGUAACAGUGAGGAUGGCCCAGGUGAGAGCUCCCUGUGGCCCUUAGCGUGAAGGGGACCCAGAAGAAGGCCACUGAUGGGGUGAGGUGGAAGAGGUUGAGCCGGGCAGGAGGGACGCUCUGUGAAGAAGGGGCUAGCAGGUCUGUAGGGCUCUUCUGGCAGACUCGAGAUAUUGUGGUGAUGUCCAUGCUCCAUGCAUGUGACCUACGAGGGUGUGAGGAGUGAGCACAGGUGGGGAGCUCCGUGGGACACCCCGGCCAGUGCUCCUUCCUCACUCACUGCCUGUUGGCCUCUGGGUCUGAAGAAGGGGCUUGGUGGGAUGGGGACGGGACUCCUCCAGUUCUCGUCCUCCUGGCACAGGGAGCAGGGGAGACCGGGAGAACCGAGAGGCUGCAGCUGGAGAGUCGCCCUGCCCGAAAUGAAGAUUUAAUUUCAAUUCAUGUUAAAUGAGCUCAUUAUUUUUUUAAUGUCAGAGAAAAAUGCCCCAAGUUGUUUAGCUGGUCAAAAGGAAACCAUGGGCAAGGUGAGCUCUUACAAGUCCUACCAUGAAGGGACACUAGGGGGCAGAAUUGUUGAAAGAAAAAAAAAAUCAACCUGGUCCCCAGAGUGACACUGUUUCUUGUGUAUUGUGGAAAUGCACUUUGAAAGUGUCCUAGGCAGAGUGUCAAUGCUGAGCGGGAAAAGGACUUCAGUCCAUUGUAUUCCCAGGCCUCUGUGAAAAGAUACAGUAAGUGGUGGUUAAAUCUGUUACGUAGGACCUGACUGGAGCCUGCCCAGAUUCCCCAUCAAUCCAGAAGGCUUAGGGGUGUUCAGCUUUCCUGCACCCUACCAACACCUGCAUGGGUGGGGCUGGGCUUUAAAGCCACCCACAUAUGGUUCCACUGAAGUUCUGUUCUGUGGGGGUCCUGGUAUGAGGCCCCAGCCUCGAUGUUUUGGAAACAGCCUGGGGUUUAGAAUUGCUGUGCUUGUUAUUCGGUGGCCUUCGUGGGUGGCCCCUGGGCCACAGGCGUCAGCAGCAAUGGAAUCGUCCCAUAUGCAAGUCCAGACCUAGAAGACCAUGAGUUCUGGGGGUAGCACCCUGCAGCCCCCUUUAACCAGCCCUGCAAGCAAAUCUGCUAUACUGUAGAGCUUGAGAGCCACUCCCUACUCCUCCCCAGGGAACCAUGUCAGGGGCAGAUUCUCCAUAGUCCAUCUCUGCUGUCCUCUAAUCUGCUGCUUCAUGCAGUAGUUUAACCUGUGCUCACUGUGGUUACUCCCCUGAGUACUUAUCCAGCCACUAUGACACACACACACACACACACACACACAAACAAUUCAGUGUGAGCCAAUCUGGGAAUGUGAUAGAAACAGUAGCUGAGGCCUUUGAAUUUUUUAAAAAUUAGCUAUCAAAUCUCAAAAGUUUGAGGAAAACAGCCCAAACUACCAAAAGACUGCCAAAUCCUCCUCAGCAUGCUUCCCCUGGUUGAAAGUGUCCUCAUCCUUUAGCCUGGUGCGGCCUCCUGGGCUCACAUCCCACCACGGCUUGCUCUCUGUCCCUGUGUCGUAGCAGAGCAGACCCUCAGCAGCUCUGCAAGGGACUCUUUUUUUUUUUUUUUGCUACUGGGGAUGGAACCCAGGAGGGGUGCUCUAAAACUGAGCUACAUCCCCAGCCCUCUUAAUUUUUAUUUUAUUUUUUAAAUUUUGAGACAGGGUCUCACUAAGUUGCCCAGGCUAGCUUCCAACCUGCAAUCCUCCUGCUUCAGCCUCCUGAGUUGCUGGGAUCCCAGGUGUGCACUGGGAUCCCCAGUCCCUGACUUGCAGUUCAGUUGCUCAUCUGGGUGUCCCACUCCCAUCUGGAGAGUGGGGAUGAUCUUGAGCCUGAGGAACUCUUCCAAAGCUUGUCAUGGGACAGCAUGUGGAGAUCACGGGAAGUCUGACCGUAGGCACAACUGAGUAGCAACAGAAUGUGGCCCUGGCUGUUUUCUCCCAAGGAGUACUUGGGAUUCUAAUGUUUUAGUGACAUUCUUCUCUCAGUAAUGCAGGCCAUCUUUAUUUAAAAAUAUGCUUUUUAUGUCAAAGGAAUUGAUACUACUAUUUAUUUUGAGUGGAAAAAUUUUUUAUAAACAUUUCAAUUUCUUAAUUGGAGCUCAUGCAAAACCUGGAAGCUCACAAAAACUUGUUGUUUUGUUUUGAUGUGGCCCCUGGAACUUUGAAAGUUGCAAGAAAAUAAUUACAGGAAUAACAGAACAUAGGGGCUAAUGAUCCAAUAUGAAGAAAUUGGUGUUUUGGUGAAAUAAAAUUUGCUUAAAUUAAUAUGGAUGUAGAGACAAAGGGAUAAAACCAAAAUAAAUCUUGGAGAUAAU